AAAACCAGCAAUGAAAAGGUCUCCCUUUGUGGGAAGGCAGGAGAAAGCAAGAGGGGACAACUUUGAAGGUUAACAUAAAACCUCCCGGGUUUCAUCUGCCAAUGUCUGCCUAGACCUGUUUCACCAGCGCAGUCCACCAGUGUCUCCUGCACGUCAGGGUGCUUGCUUACGUUAACUGCCGUUCGCUGGGGGUUUAUAAAUCAAUCAGUGGGAAGUCUAUAUUCAUAAAGACUCUGAUCUGGUUA
rnacentral:lncRNA from 1 species